rnacentral:sRNA from 1 species
UUUAUAAUUUCUAUGUGUAUGCCUAGUGUAAUUCAAGAAAACUGUGAACUUAUUUACAUAACUAGUACUAUAAUUGUAGAUAAACUUGACAAUUGUCAGCAACAAUGUCACUAUUACUUCGGAGUGUGUGGCGCAGUGUGCUCCGAGCUAGUCCACUCGGUCAGUCCACAACAACACCAAGGAGCCUGUCCUCCAGUAUUUCAGAGUUAACCCGUGGGAAAUCACCAGAUGCUGUGAUGCUAAUGUUGAAGACAGCCCCCAGCGCAACAGAUGUCCUGGAGGCAGUCCAAGCAAACUUACAGCAGAUGACGCCCAAACACUUGCUGCAAGCAUUACGAAUGCUUUUUCAGUUGCAAAAGACUGGCAAAGUCACGCACAAUACAGAUGAUCUAAUCAGGGAUCCAGCAUUCGGCGUAUUGUGCCAGAAUUUUAAAAAGCACGCACGAUCUAUAGACGUAAACAAGAAGCAAUUGAAGCGACAAAAUUCCUGUCUUUCCUUGGUGUGCCUGUGGACUCCUGAUAAUACAAACAAUGCUACAGAUAAUCAGAUGCGAGAUCAACACGAUUAAUAUACGUCAGAUUAUGUUUCUAGACUUCAUACUAAAUAGAUUUGAGGAAAAGAAUCAUCUAGUGGAUGCAUUGAAAUUGGCACUUCCUCUUGCUUUCCAAAUCCACUUACCUCUGGAGAUAGAUAAUGAUGAUCUACCGCUGCUAAGAGAUAUGCUGGCGUAUUGCUGCUCUCACGACUUGCCUGAUCGCUGCAUAAAUAACGUUGUUACCGGUAUCCUUCUCCACAACCAGGCCAUUGAUGCUCAAAUUGCUAAAUAUAUCACCUGGGCGUUAUGUCAAGUUAAUUGUACUGCAGAAGUGUUCCCCACAAGAGCCAAACUUCUUAACAACUGCCUCGUUAUUAUGACGCAAAAAUUACAUGAAUUACCUUAUGAUGAUAUACUGAGGACGGCUGCGAAACUCAAGGGAAGGAUAUUAGAGAAACAUCCAGAGUAUUAUAAUGAGCAAUUGAUGGAUGGCAUAGCUGACUAUGUAGUGAAGAAUAAUUUGGAGUUUGACAAAGUGCUUCUUGUUGCAAGAGUAUUGUCUCGAAUUGCUCACACCCACCUUGGCCUUGUGGAAUACCUCUGUCAACUAGCAGUGUCCAACCCUACAACAUUAUCUAAUGCGCGAACAAAUGUUCUAUUUGGCUUCAUCAACUGCCUCUCAAACAGCAACUACUCUCCAGACCCUGACCAGUGGAAUGAAUUGCGCAGGCAGUUGUCUCUCAAUCCAAUCCUGGAUGCCAAGAGUUUUACAUUACCUUGGGCCAAAAUGUGUCUCGAAUUAGCCUCAUUGGGCCACUAUGAGGACAGACUGAUCAGCAGGGUACUCUCCCAAGAAUUCUUGGAUGAGUACUUGUCUAGAGAGCAGAAUACACUCGAUUAUCUUCAGCUCCUGACACUGAAUGAGGCCGUCAAGACGUUCCAUACCAAAGAGUUUAAGAUGCCUCAAGAAAUUUUAGAUAAGGCCAAAAGUUUGUAUCCGACUUCGCUAUUGAGCGAAGAGUUAGAACGAAGUCUCGCUCAAGGGCUGGGCAGUCCAGAGUAUGUGGUCAAAAAUGUUAUGCUGCAAAGUGGUAUUGUUGCAGAUGCCUUAGUAUGUCUAAAAAAUGGUUAUCCACAAAAACUUCCAAGAUUAAGUGGAAAAGGAAAGGUGCCUAUAGAACAGCUCAAUUUACCUAAUGGAGGAAUUGUUGUUUGCAUCAUGAACUUUAAAGCAGGAUGCUUCUCAAUGAACAGCAAUCGUCUCCGGGGUACAUUCCGCCUGAUUCUGGACACGCUAGAGAAGCAAGGAUACGCAACCGUCGCUAUAAAUACAAAUGAAUGGCUCAACUCGCCACCCCACGAGCGGACACCUUACUUACUGCGCGAAAUUAGCUACAAGUGUAGUGAAAUCGGCAUGAAAUUAUGUGCAACGUGAUGAAUACUAAAAAUAACAUUGACUCUGUGAUCUCUUUGGUUUGUGUCCUUCAAGAUGAAAUUAUGAGUGAAUAUGACGAGAUUUUGUAGAAUUGUUUUUAUUGUUAAAAUAAAUGUAUUAUUUUUAA